GCUCUGGUGGCCUAGUGGUUAGAGCAUCCGCCUCUGAUGCGGGAGUGCGCGGGUUUGUUCCACUGCAGAGUCA